CUGUGAAAUAAAUGGUCAUAACACAAAUCGAAUAGUACUUUAAUCCGACCAGUUAAUCAAUAAUAGGCCUACUGAGAUGAAUUUGUGAAUGAUUCAAAUCCACAGCGCGCAUAUCAGUGCAAUUCGACUCAUGAACAAAUGAUUCUUUUGAAUCAGUUCUCGUGAUGAAUCGUUCAUUUCUAAAACGGUCAUUGGCUCAGUCUGUUUGAACUGUGAGCGCGUCAACUGAACCAACAGAAUCGGCUCGUUUUGUGGUGCUUUUGGAAGAUAUUUAACUUCACAAAAUGAACAUAAAGUCAUAUGUAAUUAACAACUGUCGGUUUUAUGACAAGACGUGUCACACUGUUGCGAUGUGGUGUAUUUUUGGCCUCGGAAGUUCGCUGAGAUGAAACAACGCACAGCUGGACCAUCAUCAUAAAAUCACAACCAAAGGCAAACAAGACCGCAACGUAUUUCCAGCAUCUCUUCAUCAGAGGAAGAGGAGGAGGGACAUACGACUUCAUUGAGGAGAUUACAGCGAUCGCGCGCACACACACAACACACCACUACAGAUUGCCGUGUCUCCGGAGGAUAGUUGUAGUGUAUUAAAGCGCUCGACGCUGCUUUACACACCAUCUGCUUGAGCGGAAACAAGACGAGAGGAACAACACUCAAUCCUUCAAUGACGCUGAACUGUUCAGAGACACUCCGUGAUGAACGCCGGCUGAAAGUUUUGACCUUUUAUUGCGUUUUAUUUUUAGCUGAUGCAUAAGCAGAAAUCAUCUCAUUACUGGGACUGAUGGAGACAUGACAGAAAGCUUUGUUUGUGUUGCAUAUAAAGAGGGAAAUAAAUGAGAUUAUUGGUUUUUCCGUGUCUUACGCAGGUGCUUUUGACUUGUAUGGAAAUAUCAGGACAAAUUAAAUUAGUCCUAUAGUAGGUAUAUUAAAGUUGUCCAUCACUGACGGCUAGGGUGGUCUUUAUGCAGUUUUAUAAUUGAUUAUUAGAUGGACUUUGGUGUAAAUGAGCUGAUAUGGUUCUCGUGGGACACCUUUUCUUCAGGGGCCGUGCGGUAAUGCAGGAGAUUAUGAGAAAGGGAGAAUUCAUGGAUGGUUAUGCAGGUCUUAUGCUAGAGCUGUUCAUUUUCUGAUGGGACAUUGUUUGAAGAUGUAUUCAUUUUUAUAAGUGUUUAAAUAUUAUUUCCUUAUUCUCCGUAUAGAGAUUUGAAUGAUUUUAAUAUAUUUAGUAUAGGUAUUUUUAUAUAAAAAAUACAAAUCACA
rnacentral:lncRNA from 1 species